rnacentral:tRNA from 1 species
ACCUGGCUGGCUCAGUCGGAAGAGCAUGCGACUCUUGAUCUCAGGGUGGCGAGUUCGAGUCCCACGCUGGGCU